UAAUUGAAAGGUGAUUUUAGAUAAUUAAUUUAGUUGGUGGGCUAAAGUGAUAAUUUAGUUAAUAUGUUAUACCACUUGUCUCAUAUUUAUUAAAAUAAGAAGUAGGUUUACUAAUUUUUAAUUCAUAAAUUGAGGGCACAAAAGAAGAACAAGAACGGGUAGAAGAGAAAGAACAUGACUUCAGAUUGGAAACGUUUUGAGGCAUCGAAGAAAGGGAAAUCAACGGUGAAUUAGCUUGCUUGACUUUGGUUCUUCGGUGGAGGUCGUGGAAAAAGAUUAACAGUUCUAGAUUGAGCAUUAUAUAUAUCUACAUCAGGACUAGUUGGUGUAACAUCCACAUCAUCAUUAUUAUCUUAUUCUAUUUCUACUUCAAAUUCAUUUGGUUCUUCU